ACGGCAAAGUUGCGGUGAUGUG
rnacentral:miRNA from 10 species